rnacentral:rRNA from 1 species
GACGAACGCUGGCGGCGUGCUUAACACAUGCAAGUCGAACGGAAAGGCCCUGCUUUUGUGGGGUUCUCGAGUGGCGAACGGGUGAGUAACACGUGAGUAACCUGCCCUUGACUUUGGGAUAACUUCAGGAAACUGGGGCUAAUACCGGAUAGGAGCUCCUGCUGCAUGGUGGGGGUUGGAAAGUUUCGGCGGUUGGGGAUGGACUCGCGGCUUAUCAGCUUGUUGGUGGGGUAGUGGCUUACCAAGGCUUUGACGGGUAGCCGGCCUGAGAGGGUGACCGGCCACAUUGGGACUGAGAUACGGCACAGACUCCUACGGGAGGCAGCAGUGGGGAAUAUUGCACAAUGGGCGGAAGCCUGAUGCAGCAACGCCGCGUGCGGGAUGACGGCCUUCGGGUUGUAAACCGCUUUCGCCUGUGACGAAGCGUGAGUGACGGUAAUGGGUAAAGAAGCACCGGCUAACUACGUG